AGCUCCGGUGGCUUAUACUGGUUAGAGCAUCCACCUAGGAUGCGGGAGGUUAUGGGUUCGAUUCCCGGUCGAGUAA